AGGAACAGCAAAUGACAGAGCAGAGGAACGGCUGGCCCAGCCAAUCCUGGAGCUGCUGCAGCCCUGGUUCCCCAAACCAGCAGUCUCGCUGGUGGGAGGCUGGAGGAGGGGGCUGCUGGCCCACACCCCUGCCCGCCAGGACCCCUGGCUGCCCCACUGCAGCCGGGCCGCUGGGCUGCCACAGCCCAAUGGAUGAGGGCUGCCCUGGGCCCUGGUGACCACGGUGCCCCCUCCCUGCUGCCCAGCGUGGGAAGAAUGCAGGGCCAGGCAGGCCUCGCGGAGCCCUCUGGGGUGGAGGGAGCAGGACACAUUCAAGGUUCUGUGCACGUGACCUCACUACCUGGAGUCUUUGUGACAUCAGCAGUGGCACACCAUGCCUCGGGGGGAAGACGGCGUGAUGGUGUGACGGGAGUGGUACAGGAGGAGACUGGCAGAGCAGAAGACCCGAGUUCUGACCCAGAUCAGCCGGAGGCCACGGACGGCUCGCGAUGUCUGGAGACGUUGUUUAGUUCCCGGGGCCUGCAGCAGCAGAGAGGCAGGAGAGAGGCCGAGACCUGCCGGGCCCGAGCUGAAGCCCUGCCUUUUCAAGCUGGCCCUGGCCCCGGCCUCCCCGGGCCUCUGAGGGUGAGUGGAAGGAGCCAGCACCUUCUCACUCCGAAGUUAUCUUCACCCCCCGAAAUCAAACACUGUGAGCGGCACCCUGGUGAAGCCGCUGCCUUGUGUGUACUAAGUAAACAUCCUCCCCUGGUUUUGGAGCGGAAUUCAUUUCUGCUUCCUGGUCAUCCCAUUGGGUUUUUUAAUUUUUUUUUUUUUUUAUUUCCUCUGUUCCCGGUGCCCCACAGAAUCAGGUUAAUAGAAGGAAGACCUAGAAUUGGCCAGAGGCGCGCAGAGUGA
rnacentral:lncRNA from 1 species